ensembl:lncRNA
UAGUUAUCAGACUAGAUGAUCACUUAAGAGUGAUUCCAAACCAAUUUAGAAAUUAGUGUAUUAUGACAGAAUCUAUAUCAAAUUAUCCCUUAUUUUAAAAAGAAUAAGUGAAUGGUUUGCUUUUGUACUAAUUUAAACAAACCAGGCUAAGUUUAACUUAGCUAAAAUCUGGAUGUGUAAAUAAAGCUUCCCUGUCCACCAAGAUAAGAAAUUGUUCUAAAGAAGACUAAUUAGGCUCAUGGGUAAUUCCUGAACAUAAAAUGCUAAAGUUACUCUGGAUCUGGAAGAUUAAUUUCUUUUAUCAGAUGACUUUUCUUCCUCCAAAUAAAAAUGUUACCUACAAUCAUUCACCCUACCUCAUCAUCCCCCCAAAUUUUUGAAUAAUGCCUGAGAAAUUUAAAAAGAAAAAAAAAAGGACAAACUUGGAUAUAAUAUCACUAGUGAAAAUAAAAUUAUUCACUCUGUGGUCCCAAAAUAUGAGUUUAAGCCAUUUAAGAACCAAGAUUUCCAGAGCUUUGUUUCCUAGUAUAUUCCUGUUCCUUGCACUGUGUUAAAUGACUAAAUCCUAAAAUUUAUUUGCACUGAUAUUUACAUAGAAGGAAUUGAAAGGUAAAAUCCUAUGUAAUAGUAAAUUACUUACUAUUAAUGGAAAUUUCAAGGUAAUAGAAAAAUUACUUAUAUUGGAUAUGUAAAUAUUUCUUUUUUAAAAAUCAUAUCAGACGUACCUGUUUAAGUUUGUUGACUCAUUUUCAAGUUAAAUAAAAAACACAGAACUUAGUCUGGUAUAUCAGAAAACUGAAUUAUAAUAAAGGAAGACCUAGAUUUAUUCUUUGUCCCUGACAGUCAGUGGAAUGAAAAGAGAGGAAAACUAUUGUGGAUAUUCAACUCAGUAUGCCACAACUGAGACCUGGCCCAGCUAAAUAAAUAAAUAACUGUCUUUAAAAAAAAGCCAGGAUAAAUGCGCAUGCAUAGCUGAUUCCCUUUGCUAUACAGCAGAAACUAACACGAUACUGUAAAGCAGCUCCACCUAACUUUAGGUGUCCAGAAACAGGAUGGGCUGAAGCAGUUCUGUUCUGAGUUGAAUUGUUACUGGGUGGCUCACUGUGGGGCUUCUCAGGUGGCCCUGGUGAUAAAGAACCUGCCUGCCAAUGCAGGAGAUGGGGAUUCCAUCCCCUGGGUCAGGAAGAUCCCUGGAGGAGGGCAUGGCAACCCACUCUAGUAUUCUUGCCUGGAGAAUCCCAUGGACAGAGGAGCCUGGCGGGCUACAAUCCCUGGUGUCACAAAGAGUCGUACACGUCUGAGACAACUUGGCACGCACGCUUCACUGUGGCCCUGGAUCAUCUUUUCCAAGAGAAAACUGAGAAAUUCUGGUACUAAAUUGUGUCCUUGAAUUUCCUAAGAUCCUAAUAAGGCCUGUGAUUUCUCAGAAACCAUAGAAAGCCUCUGAAAGACCUGACUCUCAAAGUGGUCUGGACCCACAACAACCCAGAGCCAGAAAGAGCACCGACCCCUAACCGCCAUACUGGCGGAGACUACAAGUCCUGGGCAGGUGGAGGGCAAAUCCGAGCCUCAUCACUACAUUCUCAGUGUGAUUCAGUUCAGCUCUUGGUGCCCUGGCCUGCUCUCAGCAGUGCACUUUCAGAGACAGAUUGCCCUCAUGCUAAUGUAAUGUCAGCUCUGCUUUGAACCAAGGAAAAAUGAACAUCUUCAAGUUCAGAACUUGAUGACUUUGAAAGGCAGGGGAAGACAGUUAGUUCACAUUUAAGCAGAGGUUUGUUUACUUCCCUUGGUUUAGUUGCUCAGUCAUUCCUGACUCUUUGGGACCCCAAGGACUGUAGCCUGCCAGGCUCCUCUGUCCAUGGGAUUCUCGAGGCAAGAAUACUGGAGUGGGUUGCCAUUUCCUUCUCCAUUACUUCCCUUAGUCAAAUCUAAUAUUUUAAGCCAAAAAUAAUGGUUUUCUGAAUUUGAGAAGCGCCCCUACUUGAAUUAUUCACAGAGAAACAGUCUUUGUAGACAUUUAUUAUAUGUGGACUUGCCAUGCCUGCUCAGGAUGGCCAUCUUCUGCCUUUAUCAGACAUGACUCUGCUGGAAUUCCUCUUUGAUUGCACUUUUAAAACAUAUCUAUAAUCAUUAUACUAACAGCAUUAUCAUUGACUUUCUUUUUAAAUUUACAAAGCGUUUGAUCACCUGAAAUACACAUUAUGGAAAUAAAUGUCAUUUUAGCAAUUCACAGAAGCUACAGUCUUGUGUAUACAUGGAACAAGGCCAUGUAUUGGGCAUUAAUUUUUAUUUCAGAAUAAUUACUUUUUUCCUGGUAACUUUUGUGACUUUUAUUUGUA